UACGGAAGGCAGCAGUGGGGAAUAUUGCACAAUGGGCGCAAGCCUGAUGCAGCCAUGCCGCGUGUAUGAAGAAGGCCUUCGGGUUGUAAAGUACUUUCAGUCGUGAGGAAGGUGUUAAGGUUAAUAACCUUAGCAAUUGACGUUAGCGACAGAAGAAGCACCGGCUAACUCCGUGCCAGCAGCCGCGGUAAUACGGAGGGUGCGAGCGUUAAUCGGAAUUACUGGGCGUAAAGGGCACGCAGGCGGUUAAUUAAGUUGGAUGUGAAUCCCCGGGCUUAACCUGGGAAUGGCAUUCAAGACUGGUUAGCUAGAGUCUUGUAGAGGGGGUAGAAUUCCAUGUGUAGCGGUGAAAUGCGUAGAGAUGUGGAGGAAUACCGGUGGCGAAGGCGGCCCCUGGACAAAGACUGACGCUCAUGUGCGAAAGCGUGGGGAGCGAAACAGGGAUUAGAUACC
rnacentral:rRNA from 1 species